GAUAACUGGCUUGUGGCAGCCAAGCGUUCUUAGCGACGUUGCUUUUGAAUUCGCCAAUUUUUGUUCACCCACCAACAGGGAACAUGAGCUAGGUUUAGACCGUCGUGAGACAGGUU
rnacentral:ncRNA from 1 species